GUAAGGAAUAUUGGUCAAUGGGGGCAACCCUGAACCAGCCAUGCCGCGUGAAGGAUGAAGGCGUUAUGCGUUGUAAACUUCUUUUGUAUGGGAAGAAUGACAGGGAUUUAUCCUUGGAGAGACGGUACCAUACGAAUAAGCACCGGCUAACUCCGUGCCAGCAGCCGCGGUAAUACGGAGGGUGCAAGCGUUAUCCGGAAUCACUGGGUUUAAAGGGUACGUAGGCGGUUAAUUAAGUCAGUAGUGAAAGACUGUCGCUCAACGACGGAUGUGCUAUUGAUACUGGUUAACUUGAAUCAGGUUAGAGUUGGCGGAAUGGGUCAUGUAGCGGUGAAAUGCUUAGAUAUGCUACGGAACACCGAUUGCGAAGGCAGCUUACUAUUUCGUAAUUGACGCUGAGGCACGAAAGCGUGGGUAGCGAACAGGAUUAGAAACCCCUGUAGUCC
rnacentral:rRNA from 1 species